GCCUAGAGCCACACUACCUUGAUUGCACUCAAUCUUAACCAAUUUUGUCUGAUCUCAGAAGCUGAGCAGAACCAGGCCUGGUUAGUACUUAGAUGGGAGACCACCUAGGAAGAGGGGCUGGUAUAGGCU
rnacentral:rRNA from 1 species